CUACUUACCUGGCAGGGGAGAUACCAUGAUCACCCGGGUGGUUUUCCCAGGGCGAGGCUCAUCCAUUGCACCCCAGAGGUGCUGACUUCUGCGACUUCCCCAAAUGUGGGACACUGGACCGCAUAAUUUGUGGUAGUGGGGGCUGCUUCUCGGCUUUCCUCUG
rfam:Erinaceus europaeus unplaced genomic scaffold scaffold00381, whole genome shotgun sequence